CGAGAGUGCAAGCGUUAAUCGGAAUUACUGGGCGUAAAGCGCGCGUAGGUGGAUGCUUAAGUCGAAUGUGAAAGCCCUGGGGCUUAACCUGGGAACUGCAUUCGAUACUGGGCGUCUAGAGUAUAGUAGAGGGAAGUGGAAUUUCAGGUGUAGCGGUGAAAUGCGUAGAUAUCUGAAGGAACAUCAGUGGCGAAAGCGGCUUCCUGGACUAAUACUGACACUGAGGUGCGAAAGCGUGGGGAGCAAACAGGAUUAGAGACCCUGGUAGUCCACGCCGUCAACGAUGAUAACUAGAUGUUGGGGACACUGGUCCUUAGUAUCAAAGCUAACGCGUUAAGUUAUCCGCCUGGGGAGUACGGCCGCAAGGUUA
rnacentral:rRNA from 1 species